CAUUUGUAGAGAUUGAUCUGAGAGACACAGUGGAAGAGGUAGGCAUGAACGAGAAAACUGAAGAUAUCUUGACAGACGGCAAGGAGCACGAAAAGGAAGAAGAAUCUCCUGAUACUGUGACUGAGAGCAGCUGGAUGUGCUGUUUUCCUUUCUGGAUGAUGCUGAAGAAACAAAAGGAAAAACAGGAGUAGGACUCCCCAGUUUUGGGGGAAGAAGAGGCUCAAUAUGGAAAGGAGAUCACUGUGGAAUGUUCAUUUAAUAAAUUCAAAUGCAGAA